GCGCCCGGAGCUCAGUUGGAUAGAGCGCCGGUCUACGAAACCGUAGGUCGCAAGUUCGAGUCUUGCCGGGCGCGCCA
rnacentral:tRNA from 1 species